rnacentral:lncRNA from 1 species
AAACCAUAAAAAUUUUGAAAUGGCUGGCUCUGAAAGAUAAUUCUAGAUUUCUUACAUUUCUUGGUUGGAAACUACUCAAAUUUGGUUUGUUUGCUGGGUUUCUGAUCUUCUCACUAGUUAGAACUCUUGAAAAUUAUAAAUUCCUAUACUUGAGUUGAAAUGGUUUGAGUUUUGGGAUUUUCACAAAGUUGGUUCAAGCUGAUUUGGAUCUGGGGGUAGUGUUUUAUUACUGUUGCUGGGUUUAUUCUGCUACUGCUGUCUACUGAUUCCACACUUCUUUGUUUUUCUUUCAUUUCUAUGUAUUUCCAAUUCCUUUGAUAUGUGAAAUGGAAGAACGAGAGUCUAUUUGAUUAAAUUGCAAUUGUGUCAUACUAGCUUGUAAAUACAGUGUAUCCUAUUUCUGGAAAUCAAUUAGAUUUUAAAAUUAGCUUGGUUUUCUUGUUACACAUGUUUCUUUCUGUUCCAUUCUGAGCUUGGUUUGUAACCUUGGAUGAAUUAUGAGCCUUAGCUAAUAAGCAUAGAUGAGUUUGAGUUCGGUGUUUGUAUGAAUGAACUUUUUAAGGCUAUUGUGAAAACUCAUCUGAUUUUCGUAUGUUUGGGGUAUUUGUUUAAUUUCUGCUAGGAUUAGCAU